GAUGAACGCUGGCGGCGUGCCUAAUACAUGCAAGUCGAGCGAACGGACGAGAAGCUUGCUUCUCUGAUGUUAGCGGCGGACGGGUGAGUAACACGUGGAUAACCUACCUAUAAGACUGGGAUAACUUCGGGAAACCGUAGCUAAUACCGGAUAAUAUUUUGAACCGCAUGGUUCAAAAGUGAAAGACGGUCUUGCGGUCACUUAUAGAUGGAUCCGCGCUGCAUUAGCUAGUUGGUAAGGUAACGGCUUACCAAGGCAACGAUGCAUAGCCGACCUGAGAGGGUGAUCGGCCACCCUGGAACUGAGCCACGGUCCAGACUCCUACGGGAGGCAGCAGUAGGGAAUCUUCCGCAAUGGGCGAAAGCCUGACGGAGCAACGCCGCGUGAGUGAUGACGGUCUUCGGAUCGUAAAACUCUGUUAUUAGGGAAGAACAUAUGUGUAAGUAACUGUGCACAUCUUGACGGUACCUAAUCAGAAAGCCACGGCUAACUACGUG
rnacentral:rRNA from 1 species